AGAGUUUGAUCAUGGCUCAGAUUGAACGCUGGCGGCAGGCCUAACACAUGCAAGUCGAACGGUAACAGGAAGCAGCUUGCUGCUUCGCUGACGAGUGGCGGACGGGUGAGUAAUGUCUGGGAAACUGCCUGAUGGAGGGGGAUAACUACUGGAAACGGUGGCUAAUACCGCAUAACGUCGCAAGACCAAAGAGGGGGACCUUCGGGCCUCUUGCCAUCAGAUGUGCCCAGAUGGGAUUAGCUUGUUGGUGAGGUAACGGCUCACCAAGGCGACGAUCCCUAGCUGGUCUGAGAGGAUGACCAGCCACACUGGAACUGAGACACGGUCCAGACUCCUACGGGAGGCAGCAGUGGGGAAUAUUGCACAAUGGGCGCAAGCCUGAUGCAGCCAUGCCGCGUGUAUGAAGAAGGCCUUCGGGUUGUAAAGUACUUUCAGCGGGGAGGAAGGUGUUGUGGUUAAUAACCACAGCAAUUGACGUUACCCGCAGAAGAAGCACCGGCUAACUCCGUGCCAGCAGCCGCGGUAAUACGGAGGGUGCAAGCGUUAAUCGGAAUUACUGGGCGUAAAGCGCACGCAGGCGGUCUGUCAAGUCGGAUGUGAAAUCCCCGGGCUCAACCUGGGAACUGCAUUCGAAACUGGCAGGCUUGAGUCUUGUAGAGGGGGGUAGAAUUCCAGGUGUAGCGGUGAAAUGCGUAGAGAUCUGGAGGAAUACCGGUGGCGAAGGCGGCCCCCUGGACAAAGACUGACGCUCAGGUGCGAAAGCGUGGGGAGCAAACAGGAUUAGAUACCCUGGUAGUCCACGCCGUAAACGAUGUCUACUUGGAGGUUGUGCCCUUGAGGCGUGGCUUCCGGAGCUAACGCGUUAAGUAGACCGCCUGGGGAGUACGGCCGCAAGGUUAAAACUCAAAUGAAUUGACGGGGGCCCGCACAAGCGGUGGAGCAUGUGGUUUAAUUCGAUGCAACGCGAAGAACCUUACCUGGUCUUGACAUCCACGGAAGUUUUCAGAGAUGGAAUGGUGCCUUCGGGAACCGUGAGACAGGUGCUGCAUGGCUGUCGUCAGCUCGUGUUGUGAAAUGUUGGGUUAAGUCCCGCAACGAGCGCAACCCUUAUCCUUUGUUGCCAGCGGUUAGGCCGGGAACUCAAAGGAGACUGCCAGUGAUAAACUGGAGGAAGGUGGGGAUGACGUCAAGUCAUCAUGGCCCUUACGACCAGGGCUACACACGUGCUACAAUGGCGCAUACAAAGAGAAGCGACCUCGCGAGAGCAAGCGGACCUCAUAAAGUGCGUCGUAGUCCGGAUUGGAGUCUGCAACUCGACUCCAUGAAGUCGGAAUCGCUAGUAAUCGUGGAUCAGAAUGCCACGGUGAAUACGUUCCCGGGCCUUGUACACACCGCCCGUCACACCAUGGGAGUGGGUUGCAAAAGAAGUAGGUAGCUUAACCUUCGGGAGGGCGCUUACCACUUUGUGAUUCAUGACUGGGGUGAAGUCGUAACAAGGUAACCGUAGGGGAACCUGCGGUUG
rnacentral:rRNA from 1 species